rnacentral:lncRNA from 1 species
CGCGGGGCCCUUUCCCGCUCCUCCCGGCCACCGUCCGGAUCUUGGCCGCCACGUGGGCCGCCAGCAGCGAGUCAGCCGCGACCCCAGCGAACCCCAACCGCCGGGACGGCGACCGGAGAGUCAGCCGGGACGGCGCCACCACCGCCGCCACUCGCCGGCGGGAAGAGGAGGUUGGGAGGAGGGAGAAGGAGGUGGCGGCGGUGGAAGCCAUGAAUCUGUACACCUUCGCGAGAGCAAGAGAGGGCGUCCAAGGAGUGAUGGACUGAAAAAGAAGGGAGAGAGGGGGUUUGUGUUGUGGACAGCAACGGGGUGUUUGUGGAUUUUUCUUAUCGCUGAGGAGCGGUGGAGAGCGAGGAUUCGGUGAUUUGGGUGGUGA